GACGAACCGUGCGAACGUUGUUCGGAAUCACUGGGCUUAAAGGGCGCGUAGGCGGGCCACCAAGUCUGGGGUGAAAGCCCCCGGCUUAACCGGGGAAUUGCCUGAGAUACUGGUGGUCUGGAGGGAGGUAGGGGCAGCGGGAACUUCCGGUGGAGCGGUGAAAUGCGUAGAUAUCGGGAAGGAACGCCGGUGGCGAAAGCGGCGUGCUGGACCUCUUCUGACGCUGAGGCGCGAAAGCCA
rnacentral:rRNA from 1 species